rnacentral:rRNA from 1 species
AGAGUUUGAUCCUGGCUCAGAUUGAACGCUGGCGGCAUGCUUUACACAUGCAAGUCGAACGGCAGCGCGGGGCAACCUGGCGGCGAGUGGCGAACGGGUGAGUAAUAUAUCGGAACGUACCCAAGAGUGGGGGAUAACGUAGCGAAAGUUACGCUAAUACCGCAUACGAUCUAAGGAUGAAAGCAGGGGACCGCAAGGCCUUGUGCUCCUGGAGCGGCCGAUAUCUGAUUAGCUAGUUGGUAGGGUAAAGGCCUACCAAGGCUACGAUCAGUAGCUGGUCUGAGAGGACGACCAGCCACACUGGAACUGAGACACGGUCCAGACUCCUACGGGAGGCAGCAGUGGGGAAUUUUGGACAAUGGGCGCAAGCCUGAUCCAGCAAUGCCGCGUGAGUGAAGAAGGCCUUCGGGUUGUAAAGCUCUUUUGUCAGGGAAGAAACGGUGGGGGCUAAUAUCCCCCACUAAUGACGGUACCUGAAGAAUAAGCACCGGCUAACUACGUGCCAGCAGCCGCGGUAAUACGUAGGGUGCAAGCGUUAAUCGGAAUUACUGGGCGUAAAGCGUGCGCAGGCGGUUUUGUAAGUCUGAUGUGAAAUCCCCGGGCUCAACCUGGGAAUUGCAUUGGAGACUGCAAGGCUAGAAUCUGGCAGAGGGGGGUAGAAUUCCACGUGUAGCAGUGAAAUGCGCAGAGAUGUGGAGGAACACCGAUGGCGAAGCAGCCCCCUGGGUCAAGAUUGACGCUCAUGCACGAAAGCGUGGGGAGCAAACAGGAUUAGAUACCCUGGUAGUCCACGCCCUAAACGAUGUCUACUAGUUGUCGGGUUUUAAUUAACUUGGUAACGCAGCUAACGCGUGAAGUAGACCGCCUGGGGAGUACGGUCGCAAGAUUAAAACUCAAAGGAAUUGACGGGGACCCGCACAAGCGGUGGAUGACGUGGAUUAAUUCGAUGCAACGCGAAAAACCUUACCUACCCUUGACAUGUACGGAAGCCACGAGAGAUCGAGGUGUGCUCGAAAGAGAACCGUAACACAGGUGCUGCAUGGCUGUCGUCAGCUCGUGUCGUGAGAUGUUGGGUUAAGUCCCGCAACGAGCGCAACCCUUGUCAUUAGUUGCUACGAAAGAGCACUCUAAUGAGACUGCCGGUGACAAACCGGAGGAAGGUGGGGAUGACGUCAAGUCCUCAUGGCCCUUAUGGGUAGGGCUUCACACGUCAUACAAUGGUACAUACAGAGGGCCGCCAACCCGCGAGGGGGAGCUAAUCCCAGAAAGUGUAUCGUAGUCCGGAUUGUAGUCUGCAACUCGACUACAUGAAGUUGGAAUCGCUAGUAAUCGCGGAUCAGCAUGUCGCGGUGAAUACGUUCCCGGGUCUUGUACACACCGCCCGUCACACCAUGGGAGCGGGUUUUACCAGAAGUAGGUAGCUUAACCGCAAGGAGGGCGCUUACCACGGUAGGAUUCGUGACUGGGGUGAAGUCGUAACAAGGUAACCGUA